rnacentral:rRNA from 1 species
AUUGAACGCUGGCGGCAGGCUUAACACAUGCAAGUCGUGCGGAGUGAUGGUGCUUGCACUAUCACUUAGCGGCGGACGGGUGAGUAAUGCUUAGGAAUCUGCCUAUUAGUGGGGGACAACAUCUCGAAAGGGAUGCUAAUACCGCAUACGUCCUACGGGAGAAAGCAGGGGAUCACUUGUGCCCUUGCGCUAAUAGAUGAGCCUAAGUCGGAUUAGCUAGUUGGUGGGGUAAAGGCCUACCAAGGCGACGAUCUGUAGCGGGUCUGAGAGGAUGAUCCGCCACACUGGGACUGAGACACGGCCCAGACUCCUACGGGAGGCAGCAGUGGGGAAUAUUGGACAAUGGGGGGAACCCUGAUCCAGCCAUGCCGCGUGUGUGAAGAAGGCCUUAUGGUUGUAAAGCACUUUAAGCGAGGAGGAGGCUCUUUUGGUUAAUACCCAAGAUGAGUGGACGUUACUCGCAGAAUAAGCACCGGCUAACUCUGUGCCAGCCGCCGCGGUAA